GUCGAACGGACUCUUCGGAGUUAGUGGCGGACGGGUGAGUAACGCGUGAGAAUCUACCCUUAGGUUGGGGACAACAGUUGGAAACGACUGCUAAUACCCAAUGUGCCGAGAGGUGAAAGGUUUACUGCCUGAGGAUGAGCUCGCGUCUGAUUAGCUAGUUGGUGGGGUAAGAGCGUACCAAGGCGACGAUCAGUAGCUGGUCUGAGAGGAUGAUCAGCCACACUGGGACUGAGACACGGCCCAGACUCCUACGGGAGGCAGCAGUGGGGAAUUUUCCGCAAUGGGCGAAAGCCUGACGGAGCAAGACCGCGUGCGGGAGGACGGCCUGUGGGUUGUAAACCGCCUUUGAUAGGGAAGAAGAUCUGACGGUACCUAUCGAAUCAGCAUCGGCUAACUCCGUGCCAGCAGCCGCGGUAAUACGGAGGAUGCAAGCGUUAUCCGGAAUUAUUGGGCGUAAAGCGUCCGCAGGUGGCUAGACAAGUCUGCCGUCAAAGACUGGAGCUCAACUCCGGGCAGGCGGUGGAAACUGUCGAGCUAGAGUACGGUAGGGGUAGAGGGAAUUCCCAGUGUAGCGGUGAAAUGCGUAGAGAUUGGGAAGAACACCAGUGGCGAAGGCGCUCUACUGGGCCGUAACUGACGCUCAGG
rnacentral:rRNA from 1 species